UACGGGGGGGGGCAAGCGUUGUUCGGAAUUACUGGGCGUAAAGGGCUCGUAGGCGGCCAACUAAGUCGGACGUGAAAUCCCUCGGCUUAACCGGGGAACUGCGUCCGAUACUGGAUGGCUUGAGUUCGGGAGAGGGAUGCGGAAUUCCAGGUGUAGCGGUGAAAUGCGUAGAUAUCUGGAGGAACACCGGUGGCGAAGGCGGCAUCCUGGACCAACACUGACACUGAGGAGCGAAAGCCAGGGGAGCAAACGGG
rnacentral:rRNA from 1 species